AAGAGUAGUUGAACUCGGAGUUCUUGUAGAUAAUUUGGAAAAAGGUUGUGCUGCAUGUGGUAGACUACUUGAUUUACGGUAUUGCGAGGAUGAAAAAAGGUAUGGACUUGGUUCCCUACUAUACAUAAGAUGUCAACAAGAAGCCUGUAGCCAUCUUUCUCCUGUCUCUACUGGAAAACGCCGUAACACAAGCACAAGUGGAAAAGGCAAUAAUCCUGCAUGGGAAAUUAACUUUAAAGUUGCAGCAGCAACUUUACAUGGGGGAAUUGGUGAGAGAAAAUUUAAUGAUAUAAUGUCGGUUUUAAACAUACCAACUCUACAUCAUGCUACUGUGAAGAAAUAUGAAAGAAUUGUUGGAAGAUCUGUGGAGGAUGUGGCCCACAAAGCUUGUAAAGAUGCCGCAGCAGAAGAAUCAUCACUUGCCAAGUAAUCUAUACCAUUUACUUCUUACAUAUUUUUUUUCAAUUGAAUGUAUAAAAUUUACUCAUGAAUUGACUUUAUUAAAAAAAAUAAGUAAUUACAACUGCAUUUUAAAAAAAUAAAUUGCAUUAGAACAACUCGGUCAUCAUUUAUUAUAAAUUUAAAUUACAGAGAAAAUGGUAAAAUCAAUGUAGUUGCAGAUGCUGGUUGGCUCACAAGAUCAUCAGGGAGAUCAUAUGCAAGUCUGUCUGGUCAUGCAGCCCUAAUUGGUUCCGAAACUGGGAAAUGUGUGCAAUAUGCCACAAGGAAUAAGUAUUGCAGAAUUUGCAACAUGGCAGAUAAACAAGGAAAACCUCCCAAGGAACAUGAUUGCAGAAAAAAUUGGACAGGCAGUUCCAAGGGAAUGGAGCCAGAUAUGCGUGUUUCUAUGAUAACAGAAUUAAGUGAAUCAGGACUGCAUGUUGAUGCACUGACGAUGGAUGAUGAUGCUACUACAAUUGCUAGAGUGCGUAGUGAAGUAGAUGGGUCCAUAAAGAAAAUAAGUGACAAAAAUCAUACAGUGAAACAUUUUACCAACAAAUUAUAUAAACUUAGAACAGAAAAGGGCUACAAGCAACUAAAUCCGCGAAGUAUAGCUCACCUAGGGAAAUGCUUCACAUAUGCCGUCAGUCAGAACAGAGGCGAUGGAGAAGCCACUAAGAAAUCAAUAGAAUCCAUAGGGCCACAUGUGUUUGGAACCCAUGAUUUGUGUGAUUUUAAUUGGUGCGGUUAUCUGAAGAACCCCUUCACCUACAAACCCAAACACCUGCCAUACAGAAAAUACUUCAGUGGAGAGGAGUUCAAGGAUGAUUUAUUCAAAACUUUACAAGAAUUUGCCUCACAGUCCAGUAAACUGUGCAAUUUAGGAAGCACCCAGGCAAAUGAAAGUCUUAACAACAUUAUUGCCAGCAAAGCACCCAAAUCGACAUUUUCCUCUGGGUCAGAAAGUAACGAUUUCAGAGUGGCAGCAGCCAUAGCCCAAAAGAAUCUAGGAAAUCAGUAUAUUGCACAGGUACAUGAAAACCUCUCACUGUCUCCAUGUUCAUUUACUGCAAAGAGAGCAUCAUACAUUGAUAAUGAGAGAGUGAAGAAGAGAAAACUGGAGGAGUCAGUGGAGUACAAGAGAAAUGAAUCCAAAAGAAAGAAGAAAAGAUGAAUCACCAGUCGGCAUGUUCAACAAGAGAAGGACCCACAUAUGAAACAGCUGUUUCCUUUAGCAAUGAAGUACUUUUGACGGAUGAAAUACCUCCACCCCAGUGUCCUCCAAAGGCCACUCCACUACCAUCAAAUAUUCCUGUUACUUAUGUAUACUUUGAUUUGGAAACAACAGGAUUAGAAAGGGACAGUGAAAUUACCCAGAUUGCAGCAGCCUGCGGAGAAGAGAGAUUCCAAACCUACAUUCUGCCAAGAGGGAAGAUCAGCACAUCCGCUACUUGUGUAACAGGACUAGCUGUAAAAGAUGGCGUUCUGUACCGUAACGGCACGAAAGUUACAACUGUAGAUUCUCAGACUGGCCUAAAACUUUUUUAUCAUGGUUACAAAAAUUCAGUAAUCCAGUUUUAGUUGCACACAAUUGUAAAGUCUUUGAUUCUAUGGUUUUAAUUAAUAACAUUUUAUAUCAUGAUAUGAAAGGCUUUGUAAAUAUUUUUGGAUUUUGUGACACACUCCCAUUUUUUAGAGAAUGUUUGCCAGGCAAAAAAUCUUAUAAGCAGUGUUACCUAGCAAAGAAUCUGUUGACAGAAGUUUAUGAUGCUCAUAAUGCUGUGUCUGAUGUUCACAUACUUCAAAAACUUGUACUCAUUGUCAAUAAUUUGAAAUGUCUCUCUUUGCACACAUUUUCUGUUGACUAUUGUUUUGAUGAAAUUCAUUUCAAUUCUAGAAGGAAGGAGAAUUUAAUCUCUCUACAGAAUUUGUGUGAUUUAGGAAUUUUGACUGCACACAUGAGAAAAAAAAUUGUAGAUUCAGGUCUUGGGUACAAACAUAUUUUGUUGGCACAUGAAAGAGACCCUGUACAAGGUAUUUCUUUAUUAUUUAGAGAGCUUAAUAGUGAAGGAAAACCAAGAGUAACAAAGAACUGUAAAAUUAUAAAUGGCAUUGUAAAUUAUUUUGAGAAAUUGUAGUUACUUUUUCAUUACGGGAGAUAACUCUUACUUGUUCAGUAAAAUCAGCCUAUGUGAUUUUUACCAUUUUGCUUCUGUUUGCAAAAUUAAUCUGGGCUGGCAUAUUUUUUUAAAGUUUAUAUUACACUUCUAGCACCAAACCAACAUAUUAUGAAAUUUAUUUUCAUCUGUAAACCUUUACUGAGUGUUAUUU